rnacentral:lncRNA from 1 species
UUAAUGGCUCUAGAGCAAGGGUUUCAACCUUUUGGGGCCACUGUACCCCCAGUUGCUGGUUGAGAAGGCAGGAGUUCCCCAGCGGCCAGUGACCAGGGAGGGUGUCCCCCCAGCGGCCAGUCAACAACCAGGGGGCAGGGUCCUUCUCAGCUGAUCAGUGAGUGUGCUGGUGGCGGGCGUGCCAGCAGAGGCACCCGCUGCUAAGUACCCUCUGAGGUCAUCAGAAGUACCGCUAGGGGUAUGCGUACCCCCAAUUGAAAACCCCUGCUUUAGAGCAGUGAGGGAUCUGGCAUCCUCCUCCUCUGUCAGAUGGUUCUGGGAAGAGGUGCUCAACUUGCUUUCCAUUUGUGUUGGGGAAGAGAUAUCCUAGGCAUUCUGCUCAAGGCCCCGCAACCAUGAUGCAUUUCGUUAGAUUUCUGCAGCUUGUGGACGUCAGUGGGAUUGGCAUCAGUGCAGGGCCAAGACAAAGAUCCUCCAGGUGUGGGAUAUGGGGACACAAGAUGCCAAGUGGAUCUCUGGUGCCCAGCAAAUCACCACCACUCAUGAAGAGCCGUCACAAAUCCUUGUAGGGAUGACUCCAUUCAACCCCAGUAGUUGGACCAGUACCUGCAGCCUCCAGACCUCAUUUAAACCCAAGACCACAGUGUGCUACUGGAGCCCAGAUGCCAGAGCCAGACAGAAUGGAGGUGCUUGCAGAACUGCUGUCAACAACCCCAGAGCAGGCCACCACCACAGAUGCAUGUAGAGGGUACUGUGCCUCCUUGCUCCAGAGGGAAGUAUUGCAGGCUAAAAAGCAGGCAGAAGCUGUUGAGGGGACCAGGAUGCUAUUGUCCAGUUUGUAGCUGUCGUGGAGAAACAGAGGCAAUGCUGGAGAGCAUUGCAUGGAACGGAAGUCUUGGGCAGAUCUGCCUCCAUCACUCCCAAAACCUGCUCAUGCCUCCUCCCAGAGUCACACCAGAAGUUGGAGAUGUGCUGAAGCACUGGCCAUGAGUUAUUUUGGCUUCCUUCUCAGGCACCUUGGUCUACAAAAUGUAGCUAGAAAUAUUCUUAGAAUGCAGGUUUUCCCUUGAAUGUGAUGGUCUUUUUAGACAAGAUUCAAAUUCAGACAAAAAAGAAUGAUAAGAUGCUGAAUUGUCUGCACUGAGACCAUAGACGCAUCCCAAAAUAAAAAUAAAAUCUAUCAUUUUAACA